CAGUAGCCGCGGUAAUACGUAGGGUGCAAGCGUUAAUCGGAAUUACUGGGCGUAAAGCGUGCGCAGGCGGUUAUAUAAGACAGAUGUGAAAUCCCCGGGCUCAACCUGGGAACUGCAUUUGUGACUGUAUAGCUAGAGUACGGCAGAGGGGGAUGGAAUUCCGCGUGUAGCAGUGAAAUGCGUAGAUAUGCGGAGGAACACCGAUGGCGAAGGCAAUCCCCUGGGCCUGUACUGACGCUCAUGCACGAAAGCGUGGGGAGCAAACAGGAUUAGAUACCCGUGUAGUCCCUGUCUCUUAUAU
rnacentral:rRNA from 1 species